AGUGAACGCUGGCGGUAGGCCUAACACAUGCAAGUCGAACGGCAGCACAGUAAGAGCUUGCUCUUACGGGUGGCGAGUGGCGGACGGGUGAGGAAUACAUCGGAAUCUACUUUUUCGUGGGGGAUAACGUAGGGAAACUUACGCUAAUACCGCAUACGACCUACGGGUGAAAGCAGGGGAUCUUCGGACCUUGCGCGAGUGAAUGAGCCGGUGUCGGAUUAGCUAGUUGGCGGGGUAGAGGCCCACCAAGGCGUCGAUCCGUAGCUGGUCUGAGAGGGUGAGCGGCAAAAGUGGGACGGGGAGAAGGCACAGACUGGUAGGGGAGGGAGCAGUGGGGAAUAUUGAACAAUGGGGGGAAGCCAAGUGAAGCAACGCCGCGUGCGGGCUGGCGGCGGUCGGGUAGAAAAGCGCAUGCGCCUGUGACGAAGCGUGAGUGACGGUAAUGGGUAAAGAAGCACCGGCUAACUACGUG
rnacentral:rRNA from 1 species